CUACUUGAUCUCACGUCUCAGAGUAUUAUACCUAUUUAUGAACUCCUUCUAGUAAUGAAGGAGUUAACAAAAGUUACCAUUAAAGAGCAGUAAAUUGGCCCAGCUGUAGGAGAUAAAGAGUCAGGAAGAGGUGAGUCAAGUUUUUCUUUGAGAAAUGUGGUUGGAAAGAACAGAAGUAUUCUGAGCUGAGUUCAGGAAAAAACAGAGAAACUUUUGGAUGUGGAAGGAAGGACAGUCAUAGGCUGCAGGGAUUAAUGUUUGGUAUUACCAUAGUAGAAAACUGGUCUACUGAUCUCACUAGUGCUACUAUCCUGUCACUGACAACGGGAGCACAUGUGCAGUGAUUGUGAGAGCAAGCCCAGAUGGUGGCUGGAGCCAGGUAGCUCAGAAGAGUUAAUCUGGAAGCAGGUCGAGGAGAUCAUUGACCCUCCAAGAGCAUUUUUGUUCUUUGAGUCCUGGAAAUGGAUUUGGCAUGUUGCCCACCUUGUGGAUUACAUUGUUAACAAACUAAUCGGGGUUCUGAAUAUGUUUCAUGCCUUCUUUGAGAAAAGAAACCAGAGGCAGGGAAUAAUACACAUAGUGUAAAGAAUGAAAUGGGAAACCCUGUUCAACUUAGCUCCCAUUGCCAUCACGCCAGUUUUUGAAUCUCAGAACCUGGCCCUCCA
rnacentral:lncRNA from 1 species